rnacentral:rRNA from 1 species
CCUACGGGUGGCAGCAGUGAGGAAUAUUGGUCAAUGGGCGGGAGCCUGAACCAGCCAAGUCGCGUGAGGGAAGACGGUCCUAUGGAUUGUAAACCUCUUUAGGCGGGGAGCAAUGCCGGGCACGCGUGCCCGGAGGGAGAGUACCCGCAGAAUAAGCAUCGGUUAACUCCGUGCCAGCAGCCGUGGUAAUACGGAGGGUGCGAGGGUUGUCCGGAUUUAUUGGGUUUAAAGGGUGCGUAGGCGGAUGUUUAAGUCAGAGGUAAAAUGUCGGGGCUCAACCCGGGCCGGCCGUUGAAACUGGGUAUCUGGAGUGGGCGAGAAGUAUGCGGAAUGCGUGGUGUAGCGGUGAAAUGCAUAGAUAUCACGCAGAACUCCGAUUGCGAAGGCAGCAUACCGGCGCCCGACUGACGCUGAGGCACGAAAGCGUGGGUAUCGAACAGGAUUAGAUACCCGGGUAGUC